CGCGUCCCUGAGGAAGCCAGGAGAAAGUGGUAAAAAAAAUAAAUGAUUAAAAAUAAAUUACAUAAUGAAUAAACUAAAUGAUAAAUGAUAAACUUUAACAUCAAGUACUAACAAUGGGGCUGGUAAGUCAGGGCUGGUGUGUUUGAUAGCCUGCAUGAAUAGCCUUUGUGUGAUGUGAAUGUAAAACUAGAAAAAGCAUUUGUGGCAAGUUAGUACCUUACAAAGUUCAACAGGAUCUAUAAAAGGCCAUCUUGUGGUGUAAAAUGGCUGUUCAAGCAGCAACAUAUUCUCUGUGAAGCCCCCCUAAAAUGUUCAUCAAUGCAAGGCCCUGUCUCACAUGGCUCCUCAAGAAUUUUCCCCACCACACGCCACUUAUGGCAACAAUAAUGUAUUCAGACUCGAAAUGGAAAAACUUCACCACUCUUAAAUUGCUUAUUGCUCCACUGUUUCUGAAAAGUGAACUUUAUUGGCAGGAGGGUAUUGCUCAAUAUCAAAGAACGUUUGGUAAAUAUUAUCCCUGGCACCCCUCAAAUCACCUGUGAUCAUUUUAUAUAACAGCUUUACAAAGCUGUAACCCAGCUUAUUAACUCAACAUAUCUCUAUCUUAAUGAGUAAUGAUGAAACUGUAAAUCUGCUGUGCUUUGGAUUCAUUAACCAAAAUACAAAAUUUAAUGGGGCGUUUUAUACAAGACAUCAAGAAGCAAAAGGUUCUUGCUGAAAGCCUCAGUUUCCUUUAAUCCCAUAGUUAUUGUUUGUACCAGAAAUGCUUAUUAAGGGGGAGGAGUUUGCUGUCAUGUUUCUUUGAUAAUCAAACGCAACACGCUUCAACCUGGUGGUGGCGUCCUGUAGCAUCUGAGCGCCUGAGCUUGUUGAGUCACCAUGUGACUGGGCAUGUUCUGUAUGGCAAAUAAGAGAUGAGGAGAGGUGGAGAGAUGGAGAAGUGGAGUAAGUGAGAGUGACUGAUGACUCACUGAGUAUGUGCUUGUGAAUGACUCACUGUGAUAUACAUGAUUACAUAGAUGUCUUUUAUUAGAUACAUUCUGCUAUCUGCUGAGGAUUGAGUUUGGUGCUGUCUGGUCUGGAAUGAGAUCAAAGAAUCCAUCAAUAAGGUAUACUAAUUUUUUAUUUAUACAAAAAGAAAUUCAUCCCAAUAAAUAUGAAAUUAACAUUCAUCAAUGGGUUGUAUUCUUGAUCAAAUACAGCAUGUCUCUAGGGUAAACAGGGUCAUUUUAGAGACUCAGUAAUACUCUCCUUCAAUGAGUCAUCAAUCAACCUGUAUCAGUUACUGCAGGGUGGCCAAAAUAGAUAGUGAUCUCCUUCCACAUCAUCAUUAUCUUUUAGUGUAAGUUCUGAAAACAUCUGCUGUAAGUACCUACAUUACACCAUGGCAACAGGGAUUAUAAAUUUUAAUGUUUUACCACAGAAAAACCUUGGUCUUCAUUAUUAUUUAUACUGAUUUUACGGUAUCACUGGGUUCUUUUGUGCAAGACUCUAACUUUGGAUGUGAAAUACUUAACAAACAAACAAAAACAAAAAAAAUGGACAGUCUAAAAAGAGAACAUCUUCAGGUUGACACAUAAUAGUUCAUGUGGGAACAGAGCACAUCACAAAACAGUGUGAGAGACAAGCAUAAAACUGGUUUUAUUUCAACCAUUUGGGGUCUUAAAAUUCACAAAUACCUACAAUUAAUACAUAAUUGAACAAGGACUGACUCAUUUGAACUGAAAUAGUACUAGUAGAUUUUUAAGUGUAGAUUCAAAAGGUUUUAUAGUGUCAAAGUUACUUCCUAGAUUCAGAUUUCUGUUUUGUAACUUUGAUCAUCAAAUAUUCCUUAAAACAGAUGUGCGUACUUGUUUUGGAGAACACUCAUUACACCACUGCUCCACAUUUUCCAAGAGUCCAGAUGUAGAAAAGCAAAACAGUCAUUUAUUAUCAAUUUAUGCUGUCAGAUUUGUGAGCCAGGUGAAAUCCUAACCAGCACCCAAAUCCUCUGAGUCACACCAGGACUUACUCACCAGGAGCACAUACCGGCAUUCCUACAGUGACAGGCUCCACACUGUCACCAAUACCCAGUGGGUGUCUGUGGGAAGCUGCAGAUUAAAUAUUAAGAACUCUUCCUCAGGUUUUCCUCUGUUGUCCUUGAAUAUUUUCUUACAUCACCAGAGCAGGCAGCUUCUCUCUGAUGCAGAGAUCUACUGUGAAAUUACAGACAACAAUAACAAUGAGAUCACAAUGAGCCAUGUCAUUACUCUGAUGACCUUCAGCCAUCAUAGUGUUUAUAGUAACAGAGCCGGAUGACUUGCAUCUGCAAAUGCUGCUUGGACUUUCAGCCAGAUGGGUGCCUGGGAUUUCAUAAUUAUUUGCCAGGGGGUUUCCUGGAAUGACCAGUUUAAUUCAGUACCACAAAUUAGGGAGCAGUAAUUUGUUUGAAUAACAAGCUCUAUUAAAGCCCAUGUGAAUAGCAGUUCAUUUUUCUUUCUUUAUUGGAAAUUAUAUUUAUGUUGAAUACUUGCCUGUAGACAAAUCUCACAUUAUUGCAUGUUGACCUGCUGUGCACAGAAACAGCCUGCAUAGGCCUUUUAAUACUUUUCCUUAAGUGUCUUUCUUAUAUAGAUAUAUGAGAUAUAUACAAUUUAAGAUGGUACAGUAGUACUUUUUUGGCUUGGUUGUAUUUGUUAAUGUCCUUUUCAGACUGUUUCACAACUCUAUAAGUCACAUGCUGGGAGUAGAAUAUAUGCAGUAUAUUUGAUCGGUUUCACUCAAACCGAUCAAAUAUACAGCUGUAAGGGGAGUGCCCUUUGCGUUACUAUUAUGGAACAAUUUCAAAGUCUGGGCCUCUUUUUCUCCAAAUUUGCCCGUCCCAACACCAUAUAAUUUAAAUGUAAGUCUUUGAAGUGCUUGGCUAUUGCCUGAGGAAGAAUAAGUCUUGGGGGUAACAGCUAAUAUUUCAAGGCUUUUGUAAAGCCAAGGGAUAUCCUAGCCAAAAUGUCCUCUUCUGUGUGCUGUGUUUGUGGUUGGACUGGCAAUGUUAAGAGUGCGAACAUUAUGAAAGUCAAGGAAUUGCAUCUCUAUACAGAUGUUAAUCUGUAAGAAUUUAAUAAACACAAAUUGUCUUUGGUGAUAGGCGAUAUGUUGCAGGGUUGCAGACAGCCUCUUUUGCUCUCCAAACAUACUGUUUACUUACAGGCAACCAAAAUACUUCCAAAAAUCCCUUCUUUUUUUUUCUCCUGAUUUUUAAAACCCACCAACUAUCCUCUGAAAACAAUGUAGCCUCCACGAGGACCAAUUUUUCAAGGCUUCUUGUCAAAGAUUUUAAAACUUGGAGUCAGUGACAUCCAUGAAGAUGAACUUAGAAGCUCAAAGAUGGGAGUCCAUAUGUUGGAAAUACUAAUUCAGGUUAACUUUCUGUCUAUCUAGAGGAAAAGAAAAAAAGUUGAGGCAAGCCCUAAGUCUCCUGGCAAACAAUUUAACUGCACUACUGUCUUUGCCCCGGCAAACAGAACAGGGAAAAGAAAUUAUUAACUAAUAAUAAACUAUGUCAGACAAACAAGAUGUCAAUGGGUGGUCUGCCAAACUGUGCAAAUAUGGAAAACUUUAAAGCUGUGUAAGUUCAGUAACUGGAAAAUGGUGGCUUCGUCUUUUCUUUUUUUAUAUAUCCCAUCUUCUUCUCCAUGUUUGCGCUGUUUGGCACCACAGGGUGUUUAGACCAGAGUGUGAAUUGUGGAGCAUGCACAGAAUGCUUAGGCCAUUUCAAGACUGAGGCACACAUACAUACAAGGGAAAAUUGAUCCCUGAGCAUUAUCUAAGUAUAUUGAUCUGACUAUGAGUGUGCAAUGUGUUAACAUGAAUCAUAAAAGUCAAUUUUCAGUGGGGCUCAAGCAAUAAAUUGAUUUUUUAGACAUCAAGUACACAACUGAAUGUGAGUUACAGUUAGUCAAGUCAACCACAUCCUGAAUUAAGUCAAUCUAUGCACAACUCGGAGCCUCAGUGUUUUCAAUUCAUUCCUUCGCUGCAAAGUUCAUUUGAUUAGAGAAAUUGGCUAUUAAGUCUGAAACAGCCUUUUUCAUACCAGGAAGUAAAUGUAUUUAUUUUUGCUGAAAACAUGCCUUUUAACAGAGGUUGGCAUAGGGUCUGACUCACUCAAGUGGAGCAAGUCAUGAGUGGACACUUGGGGAACUGCAGUUUUUACCACCGGAGCAUUAGCUUCAUAUUAUUACAUCAAAGGUUGACACUUGCUUCUGUAUGUUACCAGGACUUCUAAUCAAGGCUUCAUCCCCCAUGCUUUGCCUAUAUUUGUAUUUGACUGUAGAAGUGAGAGUAGGGUUGGUGUUGAGAGAUGACUACCAAGAGUAUCCUGAAUAUUCACAGUCCUGCAUUCCAGACCUCCCAUCCUUGUGAAAACAAUGUUGACACAAGAACACUCUUUUUUUUUUUUUGUAUUUUGGUUCCAAACAACAUAGUUUGUUCGACAAACAUUUUUGGACAUUGCUGAAAUAACUGACAUUUCCUGAGAUAUCCACACCCAUGCUGUCUGUCUGAACAUCAGCAUACCCGAUAACAUAGACUUGUCUUGCUUCCUUUUUAUAGUCCUGUCUGCCAGAAGUUACACAACCAAAGUGCUGUAUCUUUUGCUGGAAGAUUUUGAUUUAAUGGUCCUUCUGAAGAAACAGUUUUUGUCCCAGAGCCCCAAACUUUAACCAUCCUUCAAAAAAAAAAAAAAAAAAAAAAACAGAGGUGCUGAGGACGAAAACACAAGUCUGGCAAAAAAAAAGAACCAUGAGUGUUGAGGAAAUAGAGGUUGAGUGUCAGAGACAACUGGAAGUAAUGAUGUGUUUCUUAUGACUGUACUGUUGAAAUAGAGAGAGCAACAGUAAAACAAAACCUUUUUCAUGUGGUUAAGUGUUCAUGCAAAGAGUUUCUGCUGAGUGUGUUAAACUCCCAACAUGAGUUCAUUAAUCUAUUGCUGAAAACAUACAAAAAUCCUAACAUUAACACCAAAUAUCUCAUGACACUGACCAUUACUAAUACACUUUCGUCGAAGAACAGGAGUGUUUCUCAACUUGACAGCAUAGCCUCGGUUUCUUCACACUGAUCAUCUAGAGGACUCAUAGAGAGAUGAAGACGUUGACUCCACUGUUUCUCCAAGAGCAUCAAGACCCCAACCAAGGUUCGACAACAUUUACACCGCUUAACAGGACCGGGCACAGCUCCUCUGGUUAAAACGACAUGGAACUGGAAAAAGCCAACGCAACCAUCACCAACCUCAAACAAGACAUCCAGAAACAAUUUGUGCAAUUUCACCCAACACAUUAACUUCCCCACCCACAAGCAUGGCCAUAUCCUUGAUCCUGUCUGCUCCACCAACAUAACCAUCUCCAACAUCUCCAGCUACAACCUCCACAUCUCAGACCACCUCGCAAUCACCCUGGACAUCCACUUCCCUCAACCAAGCCCAACUACCUCAAGGACUAUUACAUUUCGCAAACUCACCCCCUGUCCUCAGCACAGUUUGUACUUCAGCUGGUAAACUCCAUCCCCACCUCCCCUCCCCCUCUUCCUGCCAAUACUGGCGACCUCAUCAAGAACGCCUCCACAAGAAAACUGGUCUCACUGUCCACCUCCACGCCCUCACUGACUGCAUCCACAAAUACAACAACGCCCUAAACACCGCCCGGACCUCGCACUACUCCAACAUCAUCCACACCGGCUCCAGAAAUCCAAGAUCCCUAUUAUCCACAGUCAACCGUCUGCUCAAACCCCAGGAUCAUAUCUCCUCAUCAUUCACCACCAGCAAAUGCAACACCUUCCUCAAAUACUUCCAAGAUAAAGUCAAUUCCAUCUACCACUCCCUUCUCACCCACACCUGCCCAUACGACCACAUCACCCCCGUCCUCUGUCAACUCCACUGGCUUCUGGUUGCCCACAGAAUUCAAUUCAAGAUCCUCCUCCUCACCUUUAAGUCCCUCCACGACCUUGCCCCUCCCACCUGUCUGACCUCAUUGUCCGCCACACCCCGAACCGCCCCCUCCGCUCAGCUGACGCAAACCUCCUCUCACCCCCAGCUAAAAUCAAGCACCGUACCCUGGGGGACCGGGCCUUCAGCGUCUUUGCCCCCACCCUCUGGAACGCCCUCCCUAAACACAUCCGUGAAUGCCCAGACCUCAUCAGUUUCAAAUCUGCCCUCAAAACCCAUCUUUUCACACUUUCUUUUAUCACCUGACCCCCCCCUCACUCACCAUUAUCCCACCCACUCCCGCCCCUCCCACUUGUAUUCUUUUAUUCUUUUAUUCCUUUAAUUCUUUUUAUUCGUUUUUACCUUAUUUUUAGCUUGUUACUAUUAAUCUUUGCCUCACUGUAUUUUUAUGUUUUUGUAAAGUGUCUUUGAGCUCCUGUAAAAGAACUAUACAAAUAAAAUGUAUUAUUAUUAUUAUUAUUAUUAUUAUGAGGAAAAAUUGAGGACAUUGAACUUUACAUGCAGUCCUUUCAAACGCUAAAGGAGAACCUGAAUGGUGAAUGAAUAAAAAAUUGAGCCAUGGAUGGAGGAUCUGCUGAAUGAAAUAAGCUUAUUAAUGUCCAUUCUCACACACAUAUCUGUCUGUCUGGACAAUGUGUACACUCCAGGGACAGUGUCUCCAUCGUCACUUAUGCCAAUUUGAAGCUUCUAUCUGAAAUGCAUGAAUCAUAGCCCAUUAUUGUGAUGAGUUUUAGAAAUUCGUCACUUAGAGCAAGAUGCAUCAUAUUCGUUGUGCGCCUAAAGACCCGCAAAGAAUACCAAAACACAGGUUGAGCUCAUCACUUUACAAAAACCCCCAGCCAGCCUUUUGUUUGAAUCAUACAGAUGACGUGUAACAGCUUCAAAGGUUUCUGUUGUAGGACAGAAGAGACACAUCUGCCUUGCCUAUGCAGUGAUGCAUACUUUUGGCUUAAUGACGGUCUAACUCUCUGUUUGUGCUUCAAUUACAUUGUAUUUACAGAACGAGAGAGAGAGGAGGGAUGCUCUUGAUUAGUGCAGUAUGUCCUCAUUAGGCCCAGUGGGAUGUUUCAGUAGCUCAGUGGGUGGUUUGUCAUGCAAAAGACCCUGAGGUUGUGUGUUCAUGUGCACACAUAACUCCUAUUCUUUUUUAAGUGUAGUGAAUCAUACACUAGCCAUUUACAGGCUUCUACCACACCCACAUGACUUACUACCAUAUACUAUUAUAUUUCCUCGAUUCUCCUACUAUUUGUAUUUUGUGUAAAUAAAUAAAUAGAUGAUACACAAAUAUGUAACUGCAUAACAUUUUGCACAUUCAUAUUCUUGCUAGAUGUGAUUUUUUCCAAUAGAGCCAUAUCCAUUCUGUUGGGGCAUGUCCAGACUUAAUCAGCUGGGCCAACAGGGGCACUGACUUAUGCAGGGAUGCAAAGUAUGUUUACACGCACUCACAGACAAGUAUCCUUUAUUUGCCAUAACUGACUUUCUAAUUAUAUCUACUUUCUACAUUAAACUAUGUUGUAUUAAUUUAUCAUUCAGCUUCAAAGUUGACACAAACUGAAAGUGCCUCACAGGAGUUUGAACUUGACAUUUAAUUGAAAAGUUUAGUUUGACAUUUGUUCAUGCCUGUCAUGAUUUCACCGGUUUGGACACUCAAUAGCUCUGUGGAGUGUUACUUGUGUGGAGUUUUCCCCCCUUCUUUUUACAGAGGUUAGGCAGCUCCUCAUCAGCACUGGCUCCUUCUACACCUCCACACAGUUCAUUGUAAAGUCUUAUUGCAGAAGGGAGGAAUGACCUGCGGUAGCGCUCCGUCUUGCAAGGUGGGAGUCUCAGUCUGCUGCUGCUGAAGGAACUGCUUAAAGCCCCCACAGUCUGCUUAAAGCCCCCCACAGUCUGGUGCAGUGGGUGAGCAGGACGAGUUUAAGAGUGCUCUAGUGUAUGUUUUGCCUGUCACUAAUCCCUGCUCUCCUCCUCUCUCCACCAGUGCCUCCUCAGGCCACCAGCGUCUGCCCAACCUUUGCCUCAACUGCCACACUCUCAAUCCUGAACCACUCACCUGCUGUAUCCUUCAGCUCACACACUGCCUCACUCCCUCAUAAUGGAUCCCCUCCACUCCUUGGAUCCCAGGCCUCACACCAGCCCACACCCUUCAUUGUAAUAAAAUCACUUAAAGCUUCCUCUAUGUCCGCUACCUGUUUUUGGGUUCAUCAAGAAAACCAAUCCUAACACAUGCCACAGGAAUGAAUAAAAGGAUGACAUUCAUUAAUACUUUAUAUCAAUUUGUUUAUGAUUUAAGACCCCCACACUUUGUGUUGCCUUUUCUCUGCUACUUUAUCACAUGGCUGACUUUUGAUGAGAAAGAGACAAGCAGGGAUGAGAAUCGGACUGGAAGGCUGCCAUAUGUAGCUCAAUUAAUUUGGAAAUGUCUUAGUCAUUUAGACACUGAUGGAAGUAUCAGUCAGUGUGUGAACACACUUUUGGACUGCUAAUAGGCAGAUGGUCACCUUUGUUUCAAACUUAGAUAAUAAUCUAGCAUUUGUCAUUGUUUAUAUCUAAGCCAAUGUUUGACAGAGAAGCGUUGAGGUGUUUAUUUUUGUGUAUAAAGUGUUGUGCUUUCAUCACUCAAAUACCAUUAAAUAACCAUUACCAGCAAGCCAAGCCAAAGAACAAAUAGGUUUCCAGCAACAUACUGAACAUGGAGAAAGAUUAAAGUUCUUCGGGUGGGUGACUGUGUUUUAAAGUUUAACAUCUGGUUGAGGAAAACUAAGGAUGAAAAAGGGGAGGGUAGCAUGGAGGAUGAUGCUGAUGCUGGGUCAGACUGAGUCUAUUUUUCUAUUAAAGUACACAACCCCUAAAUAGCACAAAUCUUUGUUCUUUGACUUUUUUACUGAGAAAAAUCUCCCCAAUCUGUCCCAACUAAUGGGUCAUCUUCAUCAUCUCGGCACAUGCCUUGGAUUCACGUUUCACUUGUUGAGGCUCUGACCAGCAAACCUCGUCAUUGUUUCUGUCUUUUGAAGAUGAACUCUGUGGUUCAUGCAGGCUUAUUUAAAUUUAACACUUAACACUUCUUUUCUUUCAGCAGCUCAUUAAAAAAAACUGUCUUUCAAUACUGUGCAAAAAUUAGCAAUCUGUGAUACUGAAUUUAAAAGCAAGGGUGCCGCAGGGAGAGUUUGAGGUGGAUAUAGCUGUCAUUAUAGCUGUCAGAUGGGCUGCAGUCCCCCAUCCAACAAAAACAUGCACGGAACAUCUGACAGGCAGCUCUGAUCCAGGACCAGUGCAUUUAACAGAGCUGACAUGAAUCUGCAUUUUAAGAACUUUAAUGACAGAGGAUGUGUUUGUCAGAGUAGCAUUUGGCAUGUGUUUUGAUUUCACAGUUGGACCCAUGUUCUGUCUGUUAAUAUGAAAAAGGAGGCAGAGUUUAUGACUGAGGUUGCAGCCAGUUGAGAGGGGAAGCUCCAAGUGUUUUGGUUUCUCAGUCCAUGAACACUUUCCAGCAUCCAUUUCAAUAUAUGUAGAGUUUAUGUUCAAGAUCUGGCUGUACAACAUGACAUAUCUGACCAAUGACAAAUGAAUUAAAGCAAUACUCAACAACAUGAAAUGCUUUUUCAUAACUCACAAGGAGAAAAAUCAAAUAAAGCUCCUGUGAGGAGUUUUCUGAUGUUUAUGAAAUCAACGGAAAUUUACACGGACAACUUUUUGAUACACAAAAGCAAACAAGACCACCAGUAACAAGACUGACAAUUUUAAUAUUGUAGUUUUUAAUGCCUGAAAUUGAUGUGAGGGUGUAGGUGUCAGCCGUGCAGCACACUUCACUGUCAAAAGGGGAGCAGGGGGCUCGAAGUAAUCACGAAUGGAAAGUUCCUCAUGGGAGCUUUAAAAAGGGAACAACCUCCAAGAUGUUUUAAUUUCAGUUUAGAUUGAAAUAGGACAUAUCUAAAAGCCCCAGAUUACAGACUCUUCCAAAUCAUAAAUAUUAUAUUCAGGAUGGAAACGUGUGAUGCUCUCGUUCUACACAUGUAAACUUGUAGACAUAAAACAAUUUCCUGUAUCUUCCUCCUGCUCUCUCUCUUUCCUUACCUUGUCAGUUUGUUUGUUUUUUUCUGCCACAUCUCUCAACAUGUACUCCCUCCUUGAUUGGCCAUUCACAGAAAACACGAUCAGAGCAGGAUGCUACUCCUCAACACGACUUCUCCUCACUGCAGGCAGGCGCUGUUGGACACCAGCUCUGCUCCUGCACAUAAAAGAGUCAUGCACUGUGCUUUUCCAUCCACUGCUCUGUCAGUGUUGCCCUGAAUCUUCUGAAUUUGAGGUGAACACCCCCC